AUUGAACGCUGGCGGCAGGCUUAACACAUGCAAGUCGAGCGGGGGAAGGUAGCUUGCUACCGGACCUAGCGGCGGACGGGUGAGUAAUGCUUAGGAAUCUGCCUAUUAGUGGGGGACAACAUCUCGAAAGGGAUGCUAAUACCGCACACGUACUACGGGAGAAAGCAGGGGAUCUUCGGACCUUGCGCUAAUAGAUGAGCCUAAGUCGGAUGAGCUAGUUGGUGGGGGAAAGGGCUACCAAGGCGCCGAUCUGUAGCGGGUCGGAGAGGAUGAUCCGGCACACUGGGACUGAGACACGGCUCAGACUCCUACGGGAGGCAGCAGUUGGGAAUAUUGGACAAUGGGGGGAACCCUGAUCCAGCCAUGCCGCGUGUGUGAAGAAGGCCUUAUGGUUGUAAAGCACUUUAAGCGAGGAGGAGGCUACUUUAGUUAAUACCUAGAGAUAGUGGACGUUACUCGCAGAAUAAGCACCGGCCAACUCUGUGCCAGCAGCCGCAGUAA
rnacentral:rRNA from 1 species